CAGCCACAGCAAUGUGGGAUCUGAGCUGCGUCUGCAACCUACACCACUGCUCAUGGUAAAGCUGGAUCCUUAACCCACUGAGCAAGGCCAGGGAUUGAACUCGCGUCCUUGUGGAUGCUCGUCAGGUUCGUUACCACUGAGGCACAGCCAGAACUCGUGCUGUACCAUUUUAAAUGAUGCCCUCUGGAUCAAUACCAUACUUCCUCCCUCAGAUGAGGAAGCGGGCAGACACUCAGUGGGGGCAGACCUGGCAGUGCAGCCGCCUCGGCUAUCAAAGGCCGGUACUUAACGACAUAAAAUCCAGCACAGUUUAACUCUGUUUAGCAGUGCACGUUAAUUUCCCCGGGCAAGGGAGGGGAGGACAGUUCCUGAAAAGGUGAACAAUAUAGAGAAGGGUCAUCUGUAACCCUGAUACUUCUUCCAGGAAAUCCCUUUAUAAGAGAAAUUAUCAUCGCAACGGUCAACCUAGAUUUUAACACGCUGGACUCAUGACAAACAUAAACCUCUAGCUGCACAGCGGUGCCCGUGGUGUAAAUGACAUUUUUGCUCAAUUUCUUUCAGAUACGUGGCCUCGUGUCCACGUGACUCUCACGGUAACGCUGUAGGUGUGAGGCCUUUCAGAUGAGACAACCCAAGGACAAGCAAAAGCGCCCCAGGAAACAAAUGCCCAAGAUCCCAAUCCCGGAUCGGACCUCAGCUUUGGUUCUGUCGAGACCCGCUCCCACCCCCCACGGCGUCCUCCCCCAGCUUCAUCGCCCUCGUGUAUGAGCUACAGUCACCCCGAGUGACAGGGACGCCAGCAAGGCUCUGCCAGCCCCGCUCCUGGGAAGGCCUCAGGACCUGCUGGCCAGUGUUUUAUUCAUAGGAAAGAAAAACCUCCCAACGGCCUGGGAUUCCCAUCUCAGCGGCCCAGCUUCUCGUCCGUGAGAUGAGGACACUGGCCCAGGUGACCCGCAAGGUCCAAUUCCAGCUCCAACCGUCCAAAGAUAAAGGCUGCCCGCCUCAAUCCUGAGCAACCGAAAGAGCAUCUUUAAUAAUUGAAGUGAAACGCCGCUCUGUGCUCCUGUCCUCAAGACCAAAGCAGCCCUCCCGCUCUUAACGAGUAAAUUCAAGGUUACCAGGCAGGCUGAGCUCCCCGACCCCCCCCCCCGCCCCCGCAGAGACAGAGCCAAACUCAGAUUCCUCAACUUCCAGCCCUGUGGUCUUUCCUUUGCGGGAUCAGCGGGUAUAUUUUUCCACCACAAAAAAUCACAAGUUGCUUGGAGAUCUUUCCCUACCCUCUCCACCGAGGAAUCUAUUUGCAAAUCUGAAGAUACCUCCAUUUGGAAGCAAAGCUGUUCUAUAAUUAUUAGCAAGUGACAGGGUCGGGGCCCCACCUGGCAACACGCUUCCAGGAACUAAGCAACACCUACACCCUGGGGCUGCCGAAAGCGAGUGCUGAGAAGUUUUCAAAAGGCAGACUACAUAAAAAGGAGGAAAAAACAUGCCCUGGUGAGGUUGGAAAGAAGCAGGACCCCGUGCAUGCUGUCGGAUGGGGAGCAAAAUAAUGCAGCUACAGAGCACAGUAUGACAAUUCCUCAAAAAAUUAAAAACAGAACUGCCAGAUGACCCAGCAAUUCCACGUCUGGGUACACAGCCAAGAGAAAUGAAAGGAAAAGAUACCUGUACACUGUGUCCAUAGCAGCAUUACUGCCAAGAGCCAAAAGGUGAAAACAACCCACGUGACCACAGAUGGAUGAAUGGAUACACAAAUGCGGUGUCGUACACACAGUGGAAUAUUAUUCAGCCUUAAAAAGGAGGGACAGGAAGUUCCCAUGGUGGCGCAGUGAAACAAAUCCGACUAGUAUCCAUGAGGAUGCAGCUUCAAUCCCUGACUCGCUCAGUGGGUUAAGGAUCCUGCGUUGCUGUGGCUGUGGUGUAGGCUGGCAGCUGUAGCUCUGAUUCGACCUCUAGCCUGGGAAAGGGACAUUGUGGCAGAUGCUACAGCAUGGAUAAACCUCUACAGCCUUACGCUGAGUGAAUGAGCAGUCACAAGAGGACAAAUAGUCUAUGAUCCUACCUAUGUGCGGAACCUAGAGCAGAUAUGACUCACAGACACAGAAGGCAGACAGGUGACUACCGGAGCAAGGGUGGGGGCAGGGCGGGGCGAGUUCAUAUUUAAUGGUUACAGAGCAUCAGUUUUUUGGUUUUUGGUUUUUGUCUUUUUGCCAUUUCUUGGGCAGCUCCCGCGGUGUAUGGAGGUUCCCAGGCUAGGGCAAAAAGACCAAAAAAAAAAAAAAAAAAAGAAGAAGUAGGGGAGAGGGGUCUUGGGGCAUUAUUUGGUCCCAUCAUAAAAAAUUCCAGAUGUACAGACACCAAGAUACACCCACCACCUCCAGUGCAGCUUGGCAAGUAUGGGUAUGAGGGGAACAGGCCUAAAAUUCACAAAGUAGAAAUAAGAAAAUGGGAACUAUUCUCUCCCAGGAACAUAAAACUCUUGAAGGCAAUACCCCCAACUAAACUCACUGCAAACACGGUUUAGACAACAGGCUCAUAACACACUUCUUGCCAACACACAGGCCAUGAAAGAUAAGGAUCAGAGUCUGAACCAUAAAAACCAUACGACGUUAGGGGUGUGGAUCAAAAAAAAAAAAAGUUGUCUGCCAUUUCGGUAAACAAGCAAUGUUGCCUGCCUCUGGUAAACAACCAACAUUGCUGCCAGCGGGCCAUCAGCCGCUGCAGCCGCCCCAAAGGUGCGCCCUAAGGGGAAUUCAGAAGGAGACAAACAGGAUGCUGGCCCCAGAUAGUAAAGACGGCUUAUCAAAGGAAUCGUUUCAACGAGCCCAGACUCUUGCACCUGCCCAUACACAGCCAAGCACUAAAAUCAUUAACCUGGGUGUCUGAUUAGCAGUAACCUCCAGAUGUCCAACUACAGUUUUGUUCCAGCACAAACUCCUGUAUAUGCGGUUCCUCCCUCACCUCUCUGGAGCAGGUCCUCAGAGCAUCUGAGAGGCCGCCUCCCACGCUACAUCCUCAGUGAGGUCCCAGAACAAAACAUAACUCACACCUUGGAGGUCGUGCCUAUUAUUAUUAUUGCUGCUGGUGUUGCUAUUUGGUGACGGGGCCAGAAGGCCUGGAGCAUCUACAAGCCGUGUGCAGGGGACAAGGGAGUCACACGAGCUCUCUGAUGAGGCCUCACCAGCGGCCAUCGAGAGCAAAAGCAUUAAACUAGAUGAUGACUUUGAAAAGGUCUUGGUCCUUGGAAAACAUAGGCUGAAAGUGAACUGUUGUCAUUUCUUCCCGGAGCAAGCAACGAGGUAGGUCAGACUCGGUCGUGGGCUCUGGAUGCGUUCACAUCCCCCCGGCUGCCCCUCCUAGGGCUUAGACGAUCCGUUCAAAACGUCCCCCGCAGUCCUCAAGGCCCCAAAGGUCAAAGCCACUCCUUUAUUCAAGGAUCUAAGGCACCUUUGGCACCUUCAGCUUCUGAAUGAUUCAUGACUUCCGGUGGGGGGGGGGCGUGCCACAAACCCACCGCUGUGUGUGCAGAGGCAAACGUGUAUCUGUCACCUCUACCCUCAAGGCAGGUGGCCUCAGGGACACUUGUGCAAUCUGGAUUUGAGGAACACACAGGGAGCUUUCUGAUUGGAAGGCCAACCCAACACCAUGCGGGGACAGGCCUCCAGCUUUGUGUUCCUGUUACCAGCAGCAGCGGUCCCCAGCCAGCGCCAGCUCUUCGGGGCCCACCGAUACUCCAUCCAGCCUGCCGGCCACUUUGGUUAAAGGAGCAUAUCAGAGAGACCGCUAAAGAGCCAGAGUUUCCUGGCAACACUAGGCAAAGAUAAUAACGGCAGCAAACCAGUGUGACACAAACCUUUAAACCCGCUGUCCACUUCCACAUGCCAUUAAGGUUGGUACCUGGUCCAGAUGGUGAUGAUUUAAAGGGUUGAAAUUGCUUAGUUAUCGUAAUGAUGCAAGGGACACAAUUUCCCCAUUUUGCAGAGAAGGAAAUUGAGCUUUAGAGUUUAACUUGGACAGGAUAAGGGGUAAAAGCACUUCUCCAACCCAGCUAAAGGCCACAUCCAACACUGUGACAACACUGUGACAAUCCCACCAGUCUUCUGUGUGACUUGACUUCCCACCUACGUAUGGGGCAGCCCCCAGACUUUAAAUUAUAUACGCAGCAAGGUGUAACACACAGCAUCUGAAAAGAUAUUCAGUUCUCCAAUGGUGAGGCCAAAAUUAUCCGCUGGGGUAUACUUUAAUAGUUUUAUGUCCUAGUCUGGAAGUUGGUCGGCUUGCUCCAGAGGUAGGGCUGUGCUUGCCGGUCGGGCCAGGACAGCAGACCAGCCUCAUCCUCCACACUUCCAGGUGGAGCACACAGGUAAGCAGAAGAUGCUCGGGGCAGGUGCACAGACUCAGCUGAGCCCAGCCACCAGCUAACAGUCAGGGGCACAGGGUCCUUGAAGCUCUGAAAAGGUCUCGUUACUUUUGAAUUAAUGAAGAAAAGGGGCAAAGAAAUUGACUAGUAAAAUCUGAAUUAAAUAUGCAUGGGGAAAAUCUUCUCCUCCUAGAGUUCCCAUGGUGGCUCAGCGGUAAUGAACCUGACUAGUAUCCAUGAGGACGCAGGUUGGACCCCUGGCCCCGCUCAGUGGGUUAAGGGUCUGGCGUUGCCAUGAGCUGCGGUGUAGGUUACAGACUCGGCUUGGAUCCCAAGUUGCUGUGGCUGUGUUGUAGCCAGCAGCUGCAGCUCCGAUUUGACCCCUAGCCUGGGAACCUCCAUGUGCCUCGGGAACAGCCCCCCAAAAACCCUUCUCCUCCUCCUUUUUAUCCGGAUCCACCUCAAGGAUCUAAAGCCAUCUCUGAGGACCCAUGCUCAAAGAGCCCAGGCCCGCCCUUCCUACACAUGCCCGCCCCCUGCACGUGGCAGGUCACCUGAACGCUCACCUGUGCCCAGUGCUGGGCUUGACACCAUCAGCCAAGGCUAAUUCCAGUCCUGAGAAGCUGAACUUCUGUUAACGUCACUGGCUCAGUUAUGGAACAAACGAAUGUGGAUAUCCGCUGAUGAUCUUUCUAGAAGCUGAAGACUCUGCUCUGGGAGAGUGAUAUUCUUUCCCUGGGCGUAUCCAAGCCCUUGGGCUUGUAGGUGGGACCCUUCCUGCUCAGGGACACACGAUCUGUCUCCCAGGGUUCUCCCCGCCUCGCCCUGGGUGCGGGAUGUCUCUUUCUCCCUUCUCCCGGUGGGACUCGGCCAUGUGAGGUCAGCUGUGUGACUGAUGGCCCCUUGGGCCCUGACACUGCAGGAAGGAGCUGUCUGCCCCCCACCAGGCCUCAGAGGGAUGUGGGAGGGGAGUCUCCACUGGCCACCCCUGGCCAUGCUCCUCUGAGCACAUUCCACCCCAUGUCUUCCAUCUGGGUCCAAAUCUGAGGUCUGACCAGCUCUGAGUACAAAGACCAGGCUGCUUGGGGUCUGGCCAAGGUCACAUUCACCCGGGAGCUAAUGAGAUAAAGGCCAGUUUCCCUAAAAGCAUUUAAAACAAGACAAUUUCUAAGAAAUUUCAAAAGUGAUAUAAUGACUAAUUAGACUUGCAUGAAAAUGAAAUUGGUUUAUAAAUAGCAUAUCCUCCCCUUACUAUUUAGAUUAAUGGCAAAGAGGAAGUCUUUCUUCUGAGCCUUGUGCAUUGAUACUUAUCGGCUGGCAAGGGUGAUAAGUUACAGAGAAAUGACAAAAAAGGAAGUCUAACUUAAGAGCAGCGUGAUGCAGGAAAUACAAGGCCAGGCUGAGAGUCCAGGGCCCUGGGUGUCAUCCCCACCCCGCUGCACCGACAGUACAUGUGGGGCCAGGUCCCCUCCCUCCCGGCCAGUCGGACCCAGUGAGUCCAUCAGCUGCUCCACGUGUUAGUCUGAUUGUCCUGAACGAAGCGCUGGGAGAAGCUCCUUACACAAAAGAGCAAACUUCUGGCUGCCCUGGGAAUUUCUGGGGACUGGGGAGUUUACUGGCAGGCCGGCAUUCUUCAAGAGAUGCUCUGGUCCAAAGUAAGGAAACGCCUAAAAACUCAAGAUGCUUUUUUUUUCCCUUUUAACAGCCGCACCCGCAGCACAUGGAAGUUCCCAGGCUAGGGGUCCAAUCAGAGCUGCAUCUGGAGCCUAUGCCACAGCCACAGCAAUGCCAGAUCUGGGCCGCAUAUGCGACCUAUGCCACGACUUGUGGCAACACCAGAUCCUUGACCCACUGAGCGAGGCCAGGGACUGAACCCACAUCCUCACGGAUACUAGUAGUGUUCUUAACCAGCUAAGCUACAACAGAAACUCCACUCAAGAUGCUUUUUAAAAGCUCAUAGGUCGGACUAAUACUUCCUGCAAAGCAUUAGUGCUCAUACUUCCUGCCAAUGAGCCGACAAAACCAGAGGCCCUGGGUGCUCCAACCAGAGUCCUUUCUGAAUUAACCAGGCCCGGCCCAUCGCAGCUCAGCUCCAGACCCAGAGGAAAGGAGUGCCAGCUCCAGGCCAUCCCGAAGGGUGGAGGGCAGCGGGGGAGGUGUGGGGAGUGCAUGUGUCCGAUCGAGGGGGGCUGUUGCUCAGAGAGAGUGAGACGGAAACUGAGACGCCCAGAACGACUCCAGACACGCAGCAAAGAAAGCGCAUAGGCGUGGUAGGUUUUCUCCUCCUUCAAGGCCCCCACAGGGCAGGGGAGCCCCACACUGAGGCUAAGCUUCCACCUGCUGGCACAGAGCAGAUUCACCCAUGCAU
rnacentral:lncRNA from 1 species